rnacentral:rRNA from 1 species
GAUGAACGCUGGCUACAGGCUUAACACAUGCAAGUCGAGGGGAAACGACGGGGAAGCUUGCUUCCCCGGGCGUCGACCGGCGCACGGGUGAGUAACGCGUAUCCAACCUGCCUCUGACUGAGGGAUAACCCGUCGAAAGUCGGCCUAAUACCUCAUGGCAUCGUCUGCGGGCAUCCAACGACGAUUAAAGAUUUCAUCGGUCAGGGAUGGGGAUGCGUCUGAUUAGCUUGUUGGCGGGGUAACGGCCCACCAAGGCUACGAUCAGUAGGGGUUCUGAGAGGGAGGGCCCCCACAUUGGAACUGAGACACGGUCCAAACUCCUACGGGAGGCAGCAGUGAGGAAUAUUGGUCAAUGGGCGGGAGCCUGAACCAGCCAAGUAGCGUGCAGGAUGACGGCCCUAUGGGUUGUAAACUGCUUUUAUGCGGGGAUAAAGUGAGGGACGUGUCCUUCAUUGCAGGUACCGCAUGAAUAAGGACCGGCUAAUUCCGUG